UGGGGAAUAUUGGACAAUGGGCGCAAGCCUGAUCCAGCCAUGCCGCGUGAGUGAUGAAGGCCCUAGGGUUGUAAAGCUCUUUCACCGGUGAAGAUAAUGACGGUAACCGGAGAAGAAGCCCCGGCUAACUUCGUGCCAGCAGCCGCGGUAAUACGAAGGGGGCUAGCGUUGUUCGGAUUUACUGGGCGUAAAGCGCACGUAGGCGGACUAUUAAGUCAUGGGUGAAAUCCCGGGGCUCAACCCCGGAACUGCCUUUGAUACUGGUAGUCUUGAGUUCGAGAGAGGUGAGUGGAAUUCCGAGUGUAGAGGUGAAAUUCGUAGAUAUUCGGAGGAACACCAGUGGCGAAGGCGGCUCACUGGCUCGAUACUGACGCUGAGGUGCGAAAGCGUGGGGAGCAAACAGG
rnacentral:rRNA from 1 species